UGAGUAAUGUCUGGGAAACUGCCCGAUGGAGGGGGAUAACUACUGGAAACGGUAGCUAAUACCGCAUAACGUCGCAAGACCAAAGUGGGGGACCUUCGGGCCUCACACCAUCGGAUGUGCCCAGAUGGGAUUAGCUAGUAGGUGGGGUAAUGGCUCACCUAGGCGACGAUCCCUAGCUGGUCUGAGAGGAUGACCAGCCACACUGGAACUGAGACACGGUCCAGACUCCUACGGGAGGCAGCAGUGGGGAAUAUUGCACAAUGGGCGCAAGCCUGAUGCAGCCAUGCCGCGUGUAUGAAGAAGGCCUUCGGGUUGUAAAGUACUUUCAGCGGGGAGGAAGGCGGUGGAGUUAAUAACUUCACCGAUUGACGUUACCCGCAGAAGAAGCACCGGCUAACUCCGUGCCAGCAGCCGCGGUAAUACGGAGGGUGCAAGCGUUAAUCGGAAUUACUGGGCGUAAAGCGCACGCAGGCGGUCUGUCAAGUCGGAUGUGAAAUCCCCGGG
rnacentral:rRNA from 1 species